GAUGAACGCUGGCGGCGUGCCUAAUACAUGCAAGUCGAGCGAACAGACGAGGAGCUUGCUCCUCUGACGUUAGCGGCGGACGGGUGAGUAACACGUGGAUAACCUACCUAUAAGACUGGGAUAACUUCGGGAAACCGGAGCUAAUACCGGAUAAUAUAUUGAACCGCAUGGUUCAAUAGUGAAAGACGGUUUUGCUGUCACUUAUAGAUGGAUCCGCGCCGCAUUAGCUAGUUGGUAAGGUAACGGCUUACCAAGGCAACGAUGUGUAGCCGACCUGAGAGGGUGAUCGGCCACACUGGAACUGAGACACGGUCCAGACUCCUACGGGAGGCAGCAGUAGGGAAUCUUCCGCAAUGGGCGAAAGCCUGACGGAGCAACGCCGCGUGAGUGAUGAAGGUCUUCGGAUCGUAAAACUCUGUUAUUAGGGAAGAACAAAUGUGUAAGUAACUAUGCACGUCUUGACGGUACCUAAUUAGAAAGCCACGGCUAACUACGUG
rnacentral:rRNA from 1 species